rnacentral:rRNA from 1 species
ACGAACGCUGGCGGCGUGCUUAACACAUGCAAUUCGAACGGAAAGGCCCCUUUGGGGGUACUCGAGUGGCGAACGGGUGAGUAACACGUGAGUAACCUGCCCUUGACUUCGGGAUAACUUCAGGAAACUGGGGCUAAUACCGGAUAGGAAUCCUUGCUGCAUGGUGGGGGUUGGAAAGCUUCGGCGGUUUUGGAUGGACUCGCGGCUUAUCAGCUUGUUGGUGGGGUAGUGGCUUACCAAGGCUUUGACGGGUAGCCGGCCUGAGAGGGCGACCGGCCACAUUGGGACUGAGAUACGGCCCAGACUCCUACGGGAGGCAGCAGUGGGGAAUAUUGCACAAUGGGCGGAAGCCUGAUGCAGCAACGCCGCGUGCGGGAUGACGGCCUUCGGGUUGUAAACCGCUUUCAGCAGGGGCGAAGCUUGUGGUGACGGUACCUGCAGAAGAAGCACCGGCUAACUACGUG